rnacentral:rRNA from 1 species
GACGAACGCUGGCGGCGUGCCUAAUACAUGCAAGUAGAACGCUGAAGGAGGAGCUUGCUUCUCUGGAUGAGUUGCGAACGGGUGAGUAACGCGUAGGUAACCUGCCUGGUAGCGGGGGAUAACUAUUGGAAACGAUAGCUAAUACCGCAUAAUAGUAGAUGUUGCAUGACAUUUGCUUAAAAGGUGCACUUGCAUCACUACCAGAUGGACCUGCGUUGUAUUAGCUAGUUGGUGGGGUAACGGCUCACCAAGGCGACGAUACAUAGCCGACCUGAGAGGGUGAUCGGCCACACUGGGACUGAGACACGGCCCAGACUCCUACGGGAGGCAGCAGUAGGGAAUCUUCGGCAAUGGACGGAAGUCUGACCGAGCAACGCCGCGUGAGUGAAGAAGGUUUUCGGAUCGUAAAGCUCUGUUGUAAGAGAAGAACGAGUGUGAGAGUGGAAAGUUCACACUGUGACGGUAUCUUACCAGAAAGGGACGGCUAACUACGUG